rnacentral:rRNA from 1 species
AAAACUUUCAACAACGGAUCUCUUGGUUCUGGCAUCGAUGAAGAACGCAGCGAAAUGCGAUAAGUAAUGUGAAUUGCAGAAUUCAGUGAAUCAUCGAAUCUUUGAACGCACAUUGCGCCCCCUGGUAUUCCGGGGGGCAUGCCUGUUCGAGCGUUAUUA